UCGUAUGUAUAUUCAUGUGCAUAUAAUAAACAGUAGUUAUUUCAAUAUUACAAAUAGAUGUAGUUAUUGAAAUUCUAACACCUAUAUCUUCCAAUUUGACAGGUCCGCCCUGGUCGCCAUAGCAGCGUUUCUGGAUGCGUUCCAGAAGAUUGCAGACGCGGCCACAAAUGCAAGGGGUGCGACAAAGGAGAUUGGUACAGCGCUAACCAGCGUCUGCUUACGUCACAGAGCCAUUGAGACCAGGAUGAAGACGUUUAUAAGUGAGUACCUGAGCGUGAGCAUUGAUGAUGUCCCGCACGGACUUGGCGCGCGAGUUGUCGAGCUGGCGCCGCUGGUGCU